rnacentral:rRNA from 1 species
GACGAACGCUGGCGGCGUGCUUAACACAUGCAAGUCGAACGAUGAAGCCCAGCUUGCUGGGUGGAUUAGUGGCGAACGGGUGAGUAACACGUGAGUAACCUGCCCUGGACUCUGGGAUAACCCCGAGAAAUCGGAGCUAAUACCGGAUAGGACCUUCUCCCGCAUGGGGGUUGGUGGAAAGUUUUUCGGUCUGGGAUGGACUCGCGGCCUAUCAGCUUGUUGGUGAGGUAAUGGCUCACCAAGGCGUCGACGGGUAGCCGGCCUGAGAGGGUGACCGGCCACACUGGGACUGAGACACGGCCCAGACUCCUACGGGAGGCAGCAGUGGGGAAUAUUGCACAAUGGGCGCAAGCCUGAUGCAGCAACGCCGCGUGCGGGAUGACGGCCUUCGGGUUGUAAACCGCUUUUGUCAGGGAAGAAGCCUUUCGGGGUGACGGUACCUGGAGAAUAAGCACCGGCUAACUACGUGCCAGCCGCCGCAGUAAAAC